AUAAGUUUUUAUGCCUGUAGUGUUUACAACUGGUGUUUUAUGUGAAUGUUUACAGUUACAAUCCGGAUUGAAGUUUUAUGUUUCUUAGAAUUGUCGAUUGUCUUCUUCUGAAUUACAAAAUCAGACUAUGACAGAUAUAAAGAAGCUGAAUUUAUUAGAUGGAAAAUGAACAACAAAUUGAAUUAACAGAGUUUACAGAUGUUCAGGUCCAGGAUGAAGACGAUUUUGCAACCGAAAAACACGGACCAACUUCCAAAAAAAUGAAAUAUGUCUGGAGGACCUUGGAAAUCGUCAUAAUUACAUCGGUAGUCUUACUAAUUAGUUUCAUAAUAAGAAAAGCCAUUGGAAGUAAAUAUUUGCAUCCGGAAUAAUGCAGUCGUAUAAUUAAUAUAAUUUAAAAUGUAGUGUAAGAAGAGCGUUUUAAGCUCCGUGCCGGAAUACACAUAUACACAGAGGGAUGCGACAAUUGCCAAACAUGAACAAGAAAAUAGCUUGAAAUCCGUAUUAUUUAUAUUCAUUUGUUAUUCAUUUACUUGAAAUCGUUGUUGAUAAAUGUAUUUUUAUUGCCUAAAAGUUUGUUUUUAAAAUAAAAUUUUAA